rnacentral:lncRNA from 1 species
AUAAAUUAAUAAUAAAUGGUAUAGAAUAUGAAUUUGAAUGAAAAUUUCAAUUAAGAUAUAGAUUAAAUUCUAGAAAUGUUACUGUUAGGGAAUAAAAGGUGGAAAUUGUAAUUUACAUUAAAUUAAGGGUUAGCAAAAGGAGGAUUUAGGACAAAUAAUCGUACUAGACAAGAAAUCCUCAAUUAACCAAGCGAAACUUAAGGAUGUAAAGAGAAAAUUUGUAACUUACUUAAGCAUAACAUUAAGGAGGAUAGAGACUUAUUGGAAAAAUUAAAUAGAGUUAGACGUGGAAACAAUAAUUUGUGUCUUAAAAAGUAUUGAUUGAGGUGAAUCUCGACAUAUAGAAUUUAAAUAGAGCAAUGAAAUUAAAAUAAAAGACAAAGGUAAAUUAAUUAUGUAAUUAAAUAUGAAGAAAAUAAUUUUUAACUGGAUAGGUCAUAUUGAGGUGAGUCAGAAUAACUGAACAUAAUAAAAAAGCGUGUAAAACUUUCUUUGGAGAAUGAAGGGUAAAAUUUUGGGUGUUUUAAUAUAAAAUUAAAAGUGGUUAGUAAAUAAUUGGGCAAAAGUUUGAAUUUAAAAUUUGAUUAAUAUGGAUAAGAUUGACUAAUAGUUAAUAGAAGUAAUUACAAGUCAUGGAAUAAUUAUGAAUCUGUGUGAGAAAUCUA